GCUGCUUCACACUCAAUGGACCAAUGGCUUUUUUCUGUGCAAUAGGGUUGUAUCAUAGCUUAACAAAGAAGCUUCCUAAACAAAUUCAUCAAAAUCAGAAUCAAGGAACCGUUCUGGGAGCUAAGGAACACUUGGCUCAACACAUCUUGAAGAAAACUGCUGUGUAUUUGAAGAUUUAUUUUUAUUUAAGUGCAUAGUGCCACCUAGUGCAGUGGAUAUUGGUCCAGUUGAAGCCUACAAAUGAGGAAUGGACAUAUCAUUGAUACAGCAACGCGAUGCUACCAGACCUGCUGAGCUUCUCCAGCUUACCUCUUACUGGCUUCCUGACAUCCAAUUAUUACUGGAUUCCCCGGACUGCCCCUAUGGCUCCCCAACUAUUCCCCAGACUAUCUCACUAAACCUCAGACCUGAGAGCCACCUCAGACACCUGUCAUUUCAACCAUUUGCCACCUCAUCCCUCUGUCACCGUACAUACUUACCACCUCACCCACCCAUCACCUUAUCAAGCUAUCACUGCACCUACCUGUCACUUAUCCAUCAACGUUGACAAUCACUUGCUAAUGAGUAUGACUGUCCACGUAGGAAAAUCUGUGGAAGUUGUGUUGAAUUCCUCUAGGUAGACACCUUGUACAGCACUCCUUUUAACGUGGGAAUACUUUUGCACAUCAGCAGACACACUGUCCUUGACAGAAGGUCAAUCCAGUUCCAGUGGUAAGGAAACCUCAAUGAUUGGGCAUCUUAAUGUUGCUGCAGGCUUCAUCCACUAUUGCACCCAUUGAUAUCACACACAAUGAUCUUCCACCUGGAUCACCAUUGAGGACACGUUUUGGAUUGUCCUUCAUCUAGUUCCUCCCCUCCAACAUUACUGCCAUGGAUGGCCCUACCAGGAGUUGAGAACUCCUGACAGCAAUGCUCUUGGGAUCAACAAAACUCUCAAAUCUUUCCAUUUCAGCAAGGUUGCACUUAUCCACCUACUAUCUCAACCGUUUGGCACCCCACUCACCUAAUACUUUAUCCACCUUCCAUGACACCCACCUGCCACCUCACACAUCUACUGCUCUUCCCAAAAAUACCGCAAUCAUCCUCCGCCACAUCUACCCUGAGUACCUACUGAUACACUUACCUCACUCACCUACCCAUUUACUUCACCUAACCUACCCAUUCACUCAUUCAUCCACUCACCCGUUCACUCAUAUACUCAUGUUCAAACUGGACCUUUAACCAUACUGCAUGACACCUAGUACCUUUAAAAUAGGGCAUGUCCGGCCCCACAUGCUAUCACACUUUGAUGCAGCUCUCCGAGUGAUACUGCGCCCCAUUAUUUGGUGAAGCCAGGCUCAGAAGAUCCCAGAAGCAUAUGGAAGAGUGUUGAGUCAGGGGAGUAUUCAAGCAGAGCAGCGAUCCAACAAUGAUUGACACCUGUCAGAAGAUCCAGGGUAUUGUGUUUUUGAUGCAAAAGAUUAACAGUUAACCGCCUCUGAGCAAAUAUUGCCUGAUGAGAUCUAAGCUCUAUUGCAUAGCAAUCAAACCCACGUUGAAUAUGUUGGAACAAUUUAACAAACUCACAACACCCUCCCCCAUAUCUCCAACCUUGUGUGCAGCCAUCACAGUUUCUAGUGCAUAUUUAUUCUUUACAUUAGCUGCUAACAUAUGCUCCGUUUGUCCUGACCCUUUUGCCUCUCUGUUAGCAUUGUGUCAUUUCUUGCAGGCUGAAUCAGUUCAGAAGAUUAAUGUAAAGCACAGUUCCAUUUUGGCCCCACCUUUUGAUAAAGAGAGGAAUACAUCUUUUUUUAAAAAAUCUAUGUUUCUUUUUCGUACAAA